rnacentral:rRNA from 1 species
CCCACGUUCGGAUUGCAGGCUGCAACCCGCCUGCAUGAAGUUGGAAUCGCUAGUAAUCGCGGAUCAGCAUGCCGCGGUGAAUACGUUCCCGGGCCUUGUACACACCGCCCGUCAAGCCAUGGAAGCCGGGGGUGCCUGAAGUGCGCUGCCGCAAGGAGCGCCCUAGGGUAAAACCGGUGACUGGGGCUAAGUCGUAACAAGGUAAC